rnacentral:rRNA from 1 species
CACGACACCGAAGCACAGGAUACCGCAAGGUAUGGUAGAGGAGCAUUGCUGGCGCAACGAAGCAGUACCGGAAGGAGCUGUGGAGUGCCAGGAAGAGAGAAUGCCGGAAUGAGUAGCGAGAGAGAGGUGGGAAUCCUCUCGGCCGAAUAUCCAAGGUUUCCAGGGUAAAGCUGAUCUGCCCUGGGUAAGUCGGGGCCUAAGGAGAGGCAGAAAUGCGUAUCCGAUGGACAGCAGGUUGAGAUUCCUGCACUAUCUUAAAACAGAACUGUGGGGACAUUUGUGGAGAGCACAGGCGCGGAAUGGAAAGCCGCGUGCAAGCGAAGGAGGAGUCACAUAGGAAAACCCGUGUGGCAAUCCAAAGGCGUGAUGCGGACCGAAUGAAAGUAGGGAAGUGUGUGAGCCAUGAAUCAAGAAAAGCCGCUAUUGUUUUUAAGAUACCCGUACCGUAAACCGACACAGGUGGAUGAGGAGAGAAUCCUAAGGCCGGCGGAAGAAGCAUUGUUAAGGAACUCGGCAAAAUGACCCCGUAACUUCGGGAGAAGGGGUGCCAACGAGAGUUGGCCGCAGAGAAUAGGCUCAAGCAACUGUUUAGCAAAAACACAGGUCUAUGCAAAACCGUAAGGUGAGGUAUAUGGGCUGACGCCUGCCCGGUGCUGGAAGGUUAAGAGGAGAGGUUAGCGCAAGCGAAGCUUUGAAUUUAAGCCCCAGUAAACGGCGGCCGUAACUAUAACGGUCCUAAGGUAGCGAAAUUCCUUGUCGGGUAAGUUCCGACCCGCACGAAAGGCGUAAUGAUUUGAGCGCUGUCUCGACAAUGCAUCCGGUGAAAUUGAAGUACCAGUGAAGAUGCUGGUUACCCGCGCCAGGACGGAAAGACCCCAUGGAGCUUUACUCCAGUUUGGUACUGGGGUCCGGCAGUGCAUGUACAGGAUAGGUGGGAGGCUGUGAACCUGGAACGCCAGUUUCAGGGGAGCCAUUGUUGGGAUACCACCCUUGUGCUGCUGGGCUUCUAACCAGCGGCCUUUAUCAGGCCGGGGGACAAUGCCAGACGGGGAGUUUGACUGGGGCGGUCGCCUCCGAAAGGGGAUCGGAGGCGCUCAAAGGUUCCCUCAGAAUGGUCGGAAACCAUUCGAAGAGUGCAAAGGCAGAAGGGAGCUUGACUGCGACACCGACGGGUGGAGCAGGUA